GUUCAACUCUGUCAUUUUUCAGAGAAAGAAACCAAAGCCAAAAAUGAGGAAGAUCUUUACCUUAUCGCGCAUCAUUCUGAGAAUCAAGGAGAAAACCAGGAAUCAACUUAAAUUCUACAAACUUCUCUUCUUUCUACUAUGCCAUGAAUCCAUCAGUCUUGCCAUGAACAUAUAAGAACUGGAUUUAGAUGGAAGAUAUGAAGUAGGAAACUACUGAGAGGGAGAUGAACAAUCAGAGGCUCAAGAUCACAGCCUAUGAACAGACAUACUGAGCAGGAGUUUAACUAGAAGAGGAAGGGUCAGCUGUUGCUAACUUCAUGACAGAAAGUCAUCAUUACCUUUGCUGUCCUCUGUUCUUAAUAUCUCAAAAAUCUUACAGUACAGCCCAAUAAGAUUUCAUCAGAGAAACGCUUGUUUUGGGGAAAUAGGAAUGUAGACACAACAGAGAGCCUCCCUAGAGCAGCCUUGCUGGAUCACAGAAUGGAAGAGUUGAAAUAGACCUCAGAGACCAUGUAAUCCAACCCAGGUGGCCGCCUGCUGUUUCCUGGGCCCGCGCUUCCUGGCCACAGCGCUGACGCUGUGGCUACUG
rnacentral:lncRNA from 1 species